AGACUUCAAACAAAGUAAAGAGGACAGGAGCCAGCCGGGAGUGUGUGAGCCAAUGAGCGGAGUCUGUAAAUAGCGCUGCCAUCCCUGCCAGGGAAGCAGGAGGACAAAGCCUGCCCUGGGACCAGGAACCAAGCCACACUGCUGGCUCUAUGCUGUCCCCAGCAUCACGGUGGAUGAAGUGGAAACAUCAAAACACUAACAUUAGACCUGAUCCUAGAACCGAAGGCUAGGAGGCAAGAGGAGGCAACAUUACUAAGUUUGGAGAGGUAAGCCUGCAUGCCAGAAGAGGGCAUCAGAACUCAUUAUAGAUGGGAGUGAGACACCAUGUGGUUGCUGGGAAUUGAACUCAGGACCUCUGGAACAGCAAUCGAUGCUCUUGAGAGCUGAGCCCUCCAGAUGAAGAAAAGUACUUAAACACCGUACUUUUGCUUUUUCAAGUCAAUACAUGAAGGCAUAACAUCACUUUUAAAAGGAGAAGAGAUUACAGAACAGGUAAAAGUGAAAAAGAACUAACAGAAAUCUUGCAAGAUAAAAACAUGAGCAUUGAAGUGGGAAUUUUUUUCUCUGGAGGUAACAGAAGUCAAAGAGGAGAUGGAACACAUCAAUGGGAUGCAUCAAAAACUCACCCAGAAUAGAGUCAGGAGAUCUGCAAAUUAGAGGGGAAUUUUCAGAUCCACGGGGAUUAGGUUAGGUUAGGUUAGGUUAGGUUAGGUUAGGUUAGGCUAGGCUAGGCUAGGCUAGGCUAGGUUAGGUUAGGUUAGGUUAGGUUAGGUUACUCCAACUUACGUUGACUAGGAAUCCCAGUAAGAAGAACAGAAAGGCUCUGCGUACGGAGGUGUGUUGUGCAUGACGUUUCUAAUGAGAACAUCAGAACUUCAUCCGACGAUAAGGGCAGAUAUUUCCCACAAUCUUGUGAGGGCACAGACUAAGAGGCAAAGAUAACUUAUUAAAAAGAAAGUGUUGAGUAUCUGCAGAGGAACGGCAGCUAGGUUCUCAAAGAAGACAAUUGAUAUGUUGGAAAUGGUGAAUGAAAACCGCCAGCUUAGAGUCUGGUUUCCAGAUGCAAUGUCAUUUAAGGAAGAAAAUGAAAUAGUCACUUUCAUUCCUAACACCUAAGAGAGUGUAUGGAUCACAGACUUACAUCAAAAGAACUGUUAAAGUAAAGCCAACCAACCCAAAAGAAACAAAAUAAGACAACACAAAGCAAAACCGUUAGGGAGAAAGCUUAAGAUAGACGAGGUACUGAUGAGGGAAGAGAUGGAUAAAGUGAACGGUAGAAAGGAGUCAUUCCGACGUCUGUGCUUUUGGUUUUGUACUUUUAAGUACAUGAAAACACUGGGGAUGUUAUCCCAGCACUCUGUGACCAAAGCUAAGCCUGACUCAAAAAACAAAACAAAACAAAACAAAGUGAAUGCAUGAGGGCAAAUGUAAAACAGAGAGUUGAAGAGCCCCACGCCCUUUGUCAUGUUUGGGGAAAGGCAAGAAUAAUGCCUUUCUCUGAAGUCUGUUUUUCCUCUGAGAAGAGAUUUCACUAUGUGGUUCCAAACAAGUUUCACACUCCUGGGCUCAAAUGAUCUUCCCACUUCAGCCUCCCAAAUAGCUAGGCCACUGUGCCUUUUUUCUGAUCCUUUAUAUUCUGGAUGUUUUGUGUCAAUGAAAAUCCAGAGCUCUCAGUCAUCAGAAAGGCCUGGUAGCCAAGAAUUGCAGAGAGUUAAUAUAGAAAACUAAUAAUUCAGCAGAAAGCAAAAUGAACAUAAUAUAUACUCAGUAAAACAUACAAAAGAGAAUUAAAUCCAAAUAUGUAGUAGUGAGUAUAAUAAGCACAUUUAAAUUACUUUUUAAAAAGACAUAGAAUAUCAUAUUGAUUUAAAUUUAACAAAAAAAAAUGAAAGUACUAUUCAAGUAGGUGGUACUAGCAUGAGACACACAAAAGUAAAUCACAGAAAGGCUAUAUAACAAGAUACCUAUUUUAAAAAACAAUAACAAAAAAGACAGCUGGUAAAACUAUAAAUAUCAGACAAUAAUUCUUUAGCCAAAUUUGUUAGUAGUUUUUCACAGAGAUGUAAUAUACCUAACUAAUCACAUGGCUUUCAAUUAUAGAAAGAAGAAUGGCCAAAGUUGCAAAGAGAAAUUGACAAGCUCACCAUCUGGCUGGGCAUUUUUAACAAUCAGAAACAGCUAAAUCAAGCAGACAAGAAACAAGUAAUAAGGAUAGACCCAUGAAGGGCCUUAGGGGUGGCCACAUUAAAGCAGGAAGGCUUUAUUCUGAAAGCACUAGGAAGCCAUUAAAAAAUUCUAAGCAGAGGCGUGAUUAGAUCAGAUAUCCAUUUUUAGAAGGGUCACUCUGACUAUAAAGUGGAGACUGGACUUCAGGGUGGUCAGCCAACAGUAAAGACAGAGCAGUUAGAAAACUCUACCAUCUAACAGAAAGAUCCUGAUGGCCUGCAUGAGAGUAGAAUCAUCCGCAAAGGUGGGCAGGCUUCUAAGGGGCACACAGGUAGCAAGGCUGACUGGAUGGCAGGGGUUAAGAAGUAACAUCCAUAUCCUUAAUGUGUGACAGUAAGGAGAGAAAGAGGGGUUGCUCGUGUUGAAGGUUUUGGGGGUUCAUGAGGGAAUGGAUAGUGUUUCCUUGAUUCUGAUUACAGUACUUAAAACUGCCCUCAACUUUGACAUCCAAAUUGUUCACUGAAAACAUAAAUUAUAUUCAACAAACACUAGGUUAGGUUGUCUUUGUAUUAUUCAAAUGCUGAUUUCAAUACCAGCAGAGAGUUCAGUACAGGCCAGACUUUGUUAUUGUUAUUUUUAUGAAGCAUCUCCUUUGUAAACAUCCUGCUGUAUCACCUUUUGAUUGGUUUAAUAAAGAGAUGAUCAGCCAAUCAGCUGAGCAGACAAAAAUAGGGUGGGACUUCCAAUCCCAGUCAAGGGGUCCCCAAGGAAACCAAAGAGUAGAGAAGGACGACGAGAGAGAAAUGAAGGAGAAACAGGGUGGAUGGACCAGGAGGAUUCUCCAUGAGGUCACGAUGAGAGAGCAGCCAUGUGGACAUAUAUGGACCAGAGCAAGCCAGGGCAAGACCCAUGCAGGUAAAGGACCUCACCAUGGGUAGUAGGUAGCCUAGUGGGGUUAGAAUAGCUCAGAACUUGCCCAGUUUAGGCUUGCAACUUGUUAACAAACAUACCAAGUCUCUGUGUCCUUUAUUCAGGAGCUAGAAAGUGCUAGAGCAGGCAUAGAAACUCUGAGGCUAUUUGGGAGCAAAAUAGAAAACCUCUAAGAAUUACAUUUACACAAAGUAAGUACAUCAAUUAAAAAAAAAAUCUACCAAAAAGUCCCUUUUGUGUGCGAUACUGGGGAUCACGAACACAGAAUCCCAUGCAUGCUAAGCAUGUGCUCUAGCCGUGGGCUGUAACGCCUACCCUCAAAAAUCAUAAGUAAAGUUGCUUCAAUAAACCAGAGGAAGUCAGAUCCUGGCAAUACAAGAAAACUGUGUAACUUAAUUACCAUUUUCCAUAGAAGAAUGAUGCUUGAUGGGCAUUCAAGGCUAUCUAUAUGCGUUACUACUCAAGUAAGAAAGCAUUCCUGAUUUCUCUUAGUAUACAACUGCUAUUUAAAAAAAAAGGGGGAGGGGCUGGGCUGGGCUGGAGAGAUGGCUCAGGGUUUAGACUGCUCUUCUAGAGGUCCUGAGUUCAAUUCUCAGCAACCACAUGGUAGCUCACAACCAUCUGCAAUGGGAUUCGAUGCCCUCUAACGGUGUGUCUGAAGACAGCUACAGUGUACUCACAUACAUAAAAAUCAAUAAAUCUUUAAAAACAAACAACAAACAAACAACAGGUAAGUUGGGACUAGAAAACUAAGAGCAGUUAUAGCACUUGCAGAGGAUUUGGGUUCUGUCCCCAGCACUCACACCGGACAGCCACCUGGAACUCCAGCAUCCUCUUCUGGCCUCCACAAGACCCUGCAUGCGCAUGUGCACAUAAACUCACCCAGGCACACAUACACACACAUAGAGACAAAUAAACAUUAAAAAAAAAAUAAACCGGAAAAUCCAAGACAAGGGUUGCACAUGUUAGGGCUUAGGGCUUAGGGUUAGUCCCCAACACCACAAGAAAGGAAAAGAUAAAAGCAAAUCAAACUUGCCCAGUUGAACCAUGAAUUCUCAGGCACACAUUUCAUGGUGCAUAAAUCCCCUUCUUUUUACUGGUUGCUAUUAAUUACCUUAAACUAAUGUUUGCAUUUACAACUGGCAAUUAUUCUGCAGAGAACAAUGGUUUUGUGGUGAUUGGGAUGGGAAGGGGGGUGGGGCUGAGCAUGUGUUGUACAUCCGAACUGAGGUAUAAA
rnacentral:lncRNA from 1 species